rnacentral:rRNA from 1 species
AUAGCUGGUUACUUGAUAAAAGAAUUUUAGUUCUACCUAAAGCCCGCGUAAGUCUAAUAAGCUAAUAUUAAUGCUUUAGAGUUAUUCAAAUAAGGUACAGCCUAUUUGAAUAAGGAAACAACCUAAACUAAUGGGUUAGCUCUGCUAUAGUAUACCAAAGUGGGCCUAAAAGCAGCCACCUUCAACAAUAGCGUCAAAGCUUUUCUAUACAAGCGCACUCAAUUUCUCAACCCAAUCUAAACCCUUUAUUUACAUCAAGUAAUUCUAUAUAUUUAUAGAAUAUAAAAUGUUAAAACUAGUAACAAGAAGAAAACCCUUCUCUUAAAUGUGAGUGUAGGCCAGAAAGGAUAAACCACUGUCAAUUAACACUAGUGAUUCUUAAUUAGUAACACCACAAGAGAACCCUAAUAAAACAAGUGUUAAACUAACACAAGAGCAUUUCAAGAAAGAUUAAAAGAAAAAGAAGGAACUCGGCAAACACCAACCCCGCCUGUUUACCAAAAACAUCGCCUCUUGACAAGUAUAAGAGGUCCAGCCUGCCCAGUGACCUAGUUCAACGGCCGCGGUAUCCUAACCGUGCGAAGGUAGCGUAAUCACUUGUUCUUUAAAUGAGGACUAGUAUGAAUGGCACCACGAGGGUUAUACUGUCUCCUUUUUUUAAUCAGUAAAACUAAUCUCCCCGUGAAGAAGCGGGGAUUUUUUUAUAAGACGAGAAGACCCUAUGGAGCUUUAAACAAAUUAACACUUGCUGCCCAAAAUACUUCUCCUAGGAGCACAAUAUACAGCAUAGCAUCAUGAUUAAUAGUUUUUGAUUGGGGUGAUCGCGGAGUAAAAAACAACCUCCAUGCCGAAAGGGCUCCUCCCUGAGCACAAAGCCACAACUUUAAGCACUAAAAAAUUAACGUUUAUUGACCCAAUAUUUUGAUCAACGAACCAAGUUACCCUAGGGAUAACAGCGCAAUCCACUUCAAGAGCCCCUAUCGACAAGUGGGUUUACGACCUCGAUGUUGGAUCAGGGUAUCCUAGUGGUGCAGCCGCUACUAACGGUUCGUUUGUUCAACGAUUAAAACCCU